CCAGUGGGCCUGCUCUGUGCUAGCCUCCAGCAUCACAAAUCUAGAUUCCGGGGCUAGCAGGGACCGUUGUGAUCAUCUAUUCUGACCUGUAAAACACAGGCCUGAGAACUUCCUCAAGAUAAUUCCUGGAGCAGAUCGUUUAGAAAAACAUCCCAGCUUGAUUUAAAAAAUGUCAAGUGAUGGAGCAUCCACCGUGACCCUUGGUGAAAAAUAAAUGGCACUUCUAAGACCAACGCGAUACCCAGCAUUUUACAAAGGAGGGGCCAGAGAUAAAUAAUAAAUAAAUCCUCCAAAUAAUUCCUGUUUGAAUGGAGAGUAUCUGAGAGAGAAACAGGCUUUUAUGCUCUCCAUCCAGUUUCCUCGGACCACCACCAGAAGGAAUGCUCUGAACUGCUGGCAAUUAUUUCCAGGCUGGUAGGUCAGCUGGGCCUGGGAACGUCCCAGCGCAGUAACCUCGCAUGGAGCUUUGAGAAACGCAGUGAGUGACGGAGAAGCCAGAAGAACC